rnacentral:rRNA from 1 species
CCGUCAAUUCCUUUGAGUUUUAGUCUUGCGACCGUACUUCUCAGGCGGAGUACUUAAUGCGUUAGCUGCGGCACUGCAGGGGUCAAUACCCGCAACACCUAGUACUCAUCGUUUACGGCGUGGACUACCAGGGUAUCUAAUCCUGUUUGCUCCCCACGCUUUCGCGUCUCAGCGUCAAUAUCGGUCCAGGUAGCCGCCUUCGCCACCGGUGUUCCUCCUAAUAUCUACGGAUUUCACUCCUACACUAGGAAUUCCACUACCCUCUCCCGUAUUCAAGUCUCCCAGUCUCCAAUGCACUUCCCAGGUUGAGCCCGGGGCUUUCACAUCAGACUUAAAAGACCGCCUACACGCGCUUUACGCCCAAUAAUUCCGAACAACGCUCGCACCCUCCGUAUUACCGCGGCUGCUGGCACGGAGUUAGCCGGUGCUUCCUUUGAGGGUACCGUCAAGCAAAGAUGAUAUUAGCACCCCUGCAUUUCUUCCCCUCUGACAGAGCUUUACGACCCGAAGGCCUUCAUCACUCACGCGGCGUUGCUGCGUCAGGGUUUCCCC